UGAUCUGAAUUGUUCUAAGUUGGGGCCUUAGUGCUUCAUACCUGAACAUCCAAGGUCAUUUCCAUCCUUGCUUGGACCCUUUUGUUCUAAGCUUAAUUCGGCUAAUGCCGAUAUCCUUGGCAUCAUUCCAUGAAUGGCCACGACCUUAGCACACGGGUGUAGGCGUACACCCGUAGUACAUUUUAUUGUGUAUAAUCGUCAGCACGGGAGGAGUCUCGCGGCGAAUUAUAUUAAGUGGUGUGUCUAUUGAGCUUUAACCCGGCACGACCCGGGCCACUGAACGCAUAACGA
rnacentral:lncRNA from 1 species